rnacentral:rRNA from 1 species
CCUACGGGCGGCAGCAGUGAGGAAUAUUGGUCAAUGGACGAGAGUCUGAACCAGCCAAGUAGCGUGAAGGAUGACUGCCCUAUGGGUUGUAAACUUCUUUUAUAUGGGAAUAAAACGUUCCACGUGUGGGAUUUUGUAUGUACCAUAUGAAUAAGGAUCGGCUAACUCCGUGCCAGCAGCCGCGGUAAUACGGAGGAUCCGAGCGUUAUCCGGAUUUAUUGGGUUUAAAGGGAGCGUAGGUGGAUUGUUAAGUCAGUUGUGAAAGUUUGCGGCUCAACCGUAAAAUUGCAGUUGAAACUGGCAGUCUUGAGCACAGUAGAGGUGGGCGGAAUUCGUGGUGUAGCGGUGAAAUGCUUAGAUAUCACGAAGAACUCCGAUUGCGAAGGCAGUUCACUGGACUGCAACUGACACUGAGGCUCGAAAGUGUGGGUAUCAAACAGGAUUAGAUACCCCUGUAGUC